rnacentral:rRNA from 1 species
UACAGAGGCCACGAGCGUUAGGCGGAAUCACUGGGCUUAAAGCGUGUGUAGGUGGAUCGGUAAGUACCUUGUGAAAUCCCACGACUCAAUCGUGGAACUGCUUGGUAUACUGCCAGUCUUGAGGUACUCAGGGGCGAGCGGAACAGAUGGUGUAGCGGUGAAAUGCGUAGAUAUUGCUCGGAAGGCCAACGGCGAAGGCAGGUUACUGGUACGCAACUGACGCUGAGGCACGAAAGCGUGGGGAGCAAACAGG